AUAUUUCUCUUAUGAUAACAACUCGACAUUCAUAUAUGCAUUUUAAGAUACAAUUAAAUGUAAAUAAACGAUGAUUGAACGACAUUUUUUCGAAAAUUUGAAUGCCCAAGGAAUGAUAAAUGCUCCGUGAAUGAUGAUGAACACUCCGCCAUAAAAACAUGAAGAGGUGUAUCUCGUGAACUGACACUUUCGGGCAUUCCUUUACAGAUAUGUGAAAUAAAAAUAAAAUAUAGCAAUAAUACUUAAUUAUUUAGUAAAAUACGGUCAUUUUUUUAUGGAGUUUAACAAAAUUAUGAUUAUAGGAAGUAUUUUUGUUUGAUUAAGAUGAGGAUAUAGAAAAUACAUGUAUAGGUAAAGUCCUAUAAACUAUGCGAAAAACAACUAUUAUAAUAAAUGUGUCAGGUUUAACGUGCAUAAACCAGACAGUGUUACAGAUAACACCAGAUUGCACCUUGUGCAAUUCUAAGGCAAACAGAAGCAAUGUCUCAUUAACAAUUUUAGAACUACAGCAUUGUUCAUGUGAUGAUGACGAAAGAAAUCAAUAAAAACAUGUUAAUCGAUU